rnacentral:rRNA from 1 species
ACGCACGCUGGCGGCGUGCUUAACACAUGCAAGUCGAACGGAAAGGCCCUGCUUUUGUGGGGUGCUCGAGUGGCGAACGGGUGAGUAACACGUGAGUAACCUGCCCUUGACUUUGGGAUAACUUCAGGAAACUGGGGCUAAUACCGGAUAGGAGCUCCUGCUGCAUGGGGGGGGUUGGAAAGUUUCGGCGGUUGGGGAUGGACUCGCGGCUUAUCAGCUUGUUGGUGGGGUAGUGGCUUACCAAGGCUUUGACGGGUAGCCGGCCUGAGAGGGUGACCGGCCACAUUGGGACUGAGAUACGGCCCAGACUCCUACGGGAGGCAGCAGUGGGGAAUAUUGCACAAUGGGCGGAAGCCUGAUGCAGCAACGCCGCGUGCGGGAUGACGGCCUUCGGGUUGUAAACCGCUUUCGCCUGUGACGAAGCGUGAGUGACGGUAAUGGGUAAAGAAGCACCGGCUAACUACGUG